rnacentral:lncRNA from 1 species
ACUUCGGUAAGAUUUCAGUAGAUACCGCAAACAGAAGAGCAAGCAGAAAGGGAGAUUUCCAAGCGAACAAAACCGGCCCUAGCUACUGAGCAUGCUCAAUGUCACUUAGAAACCCGCAGAAGUUUCAGAAUAUACAUCACUUCGGUAAGAUUUCAGCAGCUACCGCAAACAGAAGAGCAAGCAGAAAGGGAGAUUUGCAAGAGUUUUAAUGAGACGAGGAGGGAGAAGGAACCACGAAAAUGAGGGAGGAGGGACAAGAGGAUCAACAUAAAAUGAAUAUGAAAAGGAUAUGGAAUGAAUCUGAAACGGAUCAGAAAAGAAAGUGACAAGUGGGAGGGACACCGGAGAAUGCCAAAUAUCAAAUACACUUGGAUCUGUUUUUCACAGAUCCCCCCGGCUUUUUUGGGGGUCUGAUUUCACAAAAGGUCUCAGAACCUAAUAGACAAGUUGUAAUCGAGGGUUUCCCUUGUAAAUAAAUAGGAUAAAAGUCUUCCGUGUUACAGAAAAUAAUUAUUUGCUAUGCCUCUAGCCAUUCUCCCUUUUUCCUCUGCAUCCUACUUGUCCUUAUGCUAAAAAUCUUCCAGCCCCAUAACUGGAGAUCUGAUGUACUCAUAUUUAUUUACAAGGUGACGACUAUUAAAUAAAUGAGAGCAAUGUUUCAUGUUUACUACUCCCAUGUGUUAGGUAGUUUUUACUUGGAGUGGGGUAGCACUUAUAGUGAAAGUUUAACCAUUUGGGAAUUCAGCUGGUGUUGGAUGGUGGAAAUAGCUUCUCUAGGACCUUACUUCAUUUUUCAAGAAUGCUUUGUCUUU